CAAUAGGUCCGCGCAUGAGGCCUGGCAGAGAAGCGCCCGGUCUCCUCCCGGCGCGCGUGAGCUGCUGUGCGGGUUGGUGCUUUCCGCACGGAACUGUCACCCGUCACUUUGGAAAUGGAAGCAUUUCCAGCAAAGCGUUCCCAACUGAGAAGGAAGCAUCCAGGCUCCUUCGUGGCCCUGCCCAGAGUGGCGGCCCACGGGGAAUUUCCCAGGAAAGCAUGAAAGCUUCUAAUGCUUUUGUGACACAAUCAGGUCAAAUAUGAUAAGAAAUUGUUCCUCGAGAUCUGAGGAUGAAGGACAAGUUUCUAAAACACCUUACAGGCCCUCUUUAUUUUAGUCCAAAGUGCAGCAAACACUUCCAUAGACUUUAUCACAACACCAGAGACUGCACCAUUCCUGCAUACUAUAAAAGAUGCGCCAGGCUUCUUACCCGGCUGGCUGUCAGUCCAGUGUGCAUGGAGGAUAAGCAGUGAGCAGACUGUACAGGAGCAGCACAUCAGGAGCCAUGAGAAGUGCCUUGGAAACCAACAGGGAAACAGAACUAUCUUUAUACACAUCCCCUCAUGGACAAGAGAUUUAUUUUUGCAGACAGACUCUUCAAUAAGUCCUUUGAGUUUUGUAUGUUGUUGACAGUGUUUGCAGAUACAUAUUCGAUAAAUCAGUGUAUUGACAGUGAUAUCUGUCACUCUUAUUUUAAAAACAACCACAAAAGGAAUGCUCCACGUUUGAUGUGUAGUGCUAUAAAACAGAGAAUAUUUCAUUUUCUUGAUUAGCUGAAAUCACAAAAAAUGUUUCUUUAGAAACAUAAGCAGAAUCUUAAAGUAUAUUUUCAUAUAACAUAAUUUAAUAUUCCGUAUUACUUUCACUGUUAAAUUCUCAGAGUAUUAUUUGGAAUGGCAUGAAAAAUUAAAAUUUUGGUCAUGUUUUAGGAACAGUGGAGUGUAAAUCUGUGGCUAAUUCUGUUGGUCCUUUGUAUAAUAAAUGUAAAAUAGUAUUCCAGCUAUUGUGCAAUAUGUAAAUACUGUAAAUAAACACAAGUAAUAAAUGAA